AGCUACGAUGCUUCACCCAGACCAUUGCACAUCACGUCAGAGAGGAAGACACAUGUGUGAUUCAUUUUCUUAAGCCUCAAAUCGAAAGAUUUACCUAAGGACCCAGGAAUGUCAUGAGGUUAUGUAGCAGGUUCCGGCCUGGGAAGCCACUUCAGACAAAUUUAAGGAAGAGGGAAAUUAUAAAGGAAAAGAAGCAACAGGUGUCCCAUUGUGACUGGUAGACCUCGCAGAGAAUCGUUGUGUAUCUGUGAGGAAGGUGUCAGAACCACACUGAUCCAAGGGCAUGGGGAGAAAACAUACUAUGAACUGCCUGGACUCCAAAGCUUAAAGAAAACUUUCUCAACAGCCUCCAUCUGCUACCAAAAUUUUCAUCUGCACGAACCAGUAUUAAAUGUCAGUGAAUUACAGCUUUUUGGUGCAUUAACCUUAACUUUAGGACGUUAGAAAGGAGUUUUAAUCACUGGAUCCCAUGGGAAACAGUAUUACCACCUGUAUUACAGCCAGUAUUGAAAAUUUUAUUAGAAUGCAGGAUGAUGUAUCACGAUCUCUAAA